GGGCGAACUAGAAUACCUGAUUAUCCAGACUUCCCAGAGCCAUGGGAUCUGUCUUGGCCAAAAGAAUCUCCCAAUGAGUUGGAGCAACAAGUGCCUGAACUGCACAAACAAGUUGAGAACCUCCAAAAAAGGUUAUCCAAACAACAGAAAGUCUAUCUCAAUGGUCAAGCACAUGGGAAGAAGAUAUAUAAGACCACUGGCACAGAACACAACUUUGACGAUGCAGCGGAAAUAUGUGACAAAGCCGAUGCCAUAGUAGCCUCCCCCAAAAACAAGGCAUAGAAUCAAGCUAUACAGGACAUCCUCUCAAGAUACAAGAAGUCAGCCUUCCUUGGCAUGACUGACAGAAAGAGUGAUGGCAAAUUCAUCUAUCGAACAGGAGAGCCACUGGUCUAUUCCAACUGGAGGUCUGGAGAACCUAAUAAUAAGGGUGGUGGAGAGAACUGCAUUGAGAUGUCUCCUAGUGGCAAAUGAAAUGACAUGCCAUGUCAGGAAUCAUUUCUCACUAUUUGUGAUUUUGAAGUCUAGGUGGUUUGGGUAGUGUGUACUAGGGAGAUGUGUUGCUAUGGGUUAGGGGUGGGGAAGAGGCAUGCCAGGGGAUGACAGAUGAUCAUCAGGUGGAGGGCCAUUGUACCACUCAUAACUAAUAAAUAAAAAUAUCAAUGCUCUGCACUAUCUGCUGCUUCUCUAAGCAUGACACCUGUUAAUUCCCCUAGGGCCUGAGAUGGGAAAAGGGAGAUGGUGUGGUCAAUACCCAACCUUGGGUUCUAUCUGCCUUCCUAAAAGU